CAAUAGCGUAUAUUAAAGUUGUUGCAGUUAAAAAGCUCGUAGUUGGAUUUGUGGUGUACUUCGGCGGCCCGUCACUAUGUGAUGGAGCUUGCUGAAGUCGCCAUCCUUGGGUGGAUCCUGUGUGGCAUUAAGUUGUCGUGCAGGGGAUGCCCAUCGUUUACUGUGAAAAAAUUAGAGUGUUCAAAGCAGGCUUAUGCCGUUGAAUAUAUUAGCAUGGAAUAAUAAGAUAGGACCUUGGUACUAUUUUGUUGGUUUGCGCACCAAGGUAAUGAUUAAUAGGGACAGUUGGGGGUAUUCAUAUUUCAACGUCAGAGGUGAAAUUCUUGGAUCGUUGAAAGAUGAUCUUAGGCGAANGNAUUUACNAUGGAUGUUUNCAUUA
rnacentral:rRNA from 1 species